rnacentral:lncRNA from 1 species
CCAGACUGUGCAGCCUCGACAGCUCUGCUCCCCUCCUUGUCCUCGCGUGCGUCUCAUCCCAUUACGCUUGGCAUCGCAGUUCAUGCGGGAAGCUGAGGGAUGCUGGGCAUGGCUGCGGCUGUCUCCUCCUGAACUGAGGACCAUUUGCUCUUUCUUUUUCAGCAGCAGCAGCUUCAGCAUCUCUCCCACCACGCAUCCCCCAUCCCGCUGACACCCCACCCCUCCAGCAUGCAGCCUUCUAGCCUGAGCGGGGUCAGCAGCACCUCGGGGCUCCUGGCCCUCUCGGGGGCAUUGAUGGCACAGUCUCACCUGGCUGCCAAGGAGGACAGAGUGGCCCAGGAUGGGGAGAACAGAGAGCGCACCCCGAGCCGGAGCGUUUCUGCUUCCCCUCCUGAAAGCCUGCAGGAUGAGGAGCGGACGGGAGGCACGGGGCUGAAGCGGAAGCGGGAGGAGAAGGACCUACCUGGGCAUUACGUGAGUGCACCAAAGAGCGUGGCCGUGGGAGACGGGCCUGGACCCUGGAGGUAGCUGGGGAGCUCUGUGCCUGCCCCCAGUGCGGACGGCUGUAAUCCCGCGAAAAGAAAUGAGCAAAAUGAAGAGCCCCGGGGAGGGCCCUCAGCCAGAGGGUUGAGUCGCUGCCUGCAGGGUGUGGUGUUGGUCCACAAGAAGUGAUGCAUGGGAGAAAAUGGGGUCUCUCGGCUGGCUGGGGUCCUGUGGGGCAGAGCUCAGAGCUUGGUCCAGCCUCUCCCGCUCCUGACUGGGCCUUUCUGGGUUUCUCCCCCCUUGCAGGAUAGCGAUGGGGAC